AGUCUAUUCAGAGGAGCCUGUCCUGUAAUUGAUAAUCCACGUUUCUAUUAACUUAUUUUUUUAGUUUGCAUAUCGCCGUAGUUUGAAUAUUUUUAAAGAAUAUAUGAAUAUUCAAAAUUCUUUAAGGAAGGAAUUCAGGUCAAGGUGUAGUUUAUAAAUAAGAAGAGAUGGGCUACAAUAAGUUUACUUAUACGGAGGGGUUAAUUUAAUUUAAUUUUGAAGGUGGAUUUGAAAGUAAUUUUAUUUAGAUAUUUAAGAUGAUUUUAGCUCUAAAAUAUGUACAUAUCGCCCGUCACUUUCAUUUUAAGAUGGAAUAAGUCGUAACAAAGUAGGUGUACUGGAAAGUGUACCUGGAAGU
rnacentral:rRNA from 1 species